GACCGGGGGAUUCACCACGCUGCACCUGGGACAACCACUGUGGACCCAGGCAGACCCCUCGAAAGUGACCUCACAGGAGACUGCGGAGAAAUGAUCUGCCCAUUCCUAUAAUUGGAAGAUGGAGUCAGGAAGCUUAGAAUUUCAAGGCCAGCCUCAGCUAAACGGGGAGUUCAAGAGCAUGUAGUUCUAUACAAACAACACCCUGUCUCAAAAAAAAAAAAAAAAUUAAAACCAAAACCAAACCAAAAGAAAACCCAAAGCAUUUGGGAGAAAGAGGCACAAUCAGGUGGAUCUCUAUGACCAGGGUGGUCUACAUGUUGAGUCUCAGGCCAGCCAGGACUACACGGUGAGAUCCUUUCUCAAAGAGCCAACAAGCAAGCAGAUGCGGACAUCUUCUGAAAGACUCAGAUACAAUCUCCCAGCAGUGAAUGCUGUGUUUGGGUCCCUGGUCUUGGAGGUGCACAGGUGGUUCCAUGCUCUUGGACUUAACAGUUUGAUGCUCCCUCCGGGCUGGGAAUGCCCCAUACAAUGCCUAACUGGAAAGAGCAAGUCUCAAACAUUCAGCAUUUAGAAACCACCUGGAGGCACUUUGGGCCAUGGAGCCAGCCACGCUAGCUCCAAAUGCUUGGAUUCAAAGGACAGAAACAAAGAGUAAACAGUAUCCAGCCCUUUUCAAACAACAGUCCAGCUGCUUCCUUCCUUCCUUCCUUUCCCUCUUCUUUUUCCUUUUCCUUUUCCUUUUUCUGAGACAGGCUCUGACUAUGUCACCCUAGCUGGGCUUGAACUCAGGGAGAUCUAUCUGCCUCUACCUCCUAUAUACUAGUAUUGAAAGUGUGUACCACCAC
ensembl:lncRNA